ensembl:snoRNA SNORA62 Small nucleolar RNA SNORA62/SNORA6 family
AGGGCACACUGUUAAAGCCUGGCACCAGCGUUGGUGUUUGGGUGUCGGAAGUGUGCUAGAGUGAGUAGGCCGGGUUUUCGCUAACACCAUGAGGGCUUCUGCCCCAUGACUGGGGUUUGAUAGUGACCUGAGCUACACUU